rnacentral:rRNA from 1 species
GACGAACGCUGGCGGCGUGCUUAACACAUGCAAGUCGAACGGAAAGGCCCUGCUUUUGUGGGGUGCUCGAGUGGCGAACGGGUGAGUAACACGUGAGUAAACUGCCCUUGACUUUGGGAUAACUUCAGGAAACUGGGGCUAAUACCGGAUAGGAGCUCCUGCUGCAUGGUGGGGGUUGGAAAGUUUCGGCGGUUGGGGAUGGACUCGCGGCUUAUCAGCUUGUUGGUGGGGUAGUGGCUUACCAAGGCUUUGACGGGUAGCCGGCCUGAGAGGGUGACCGGCCACAUUGGGACUGAGAGACGGCGCAGACUGCUACGGGAGGCAGCAGUGGGGAAUAUGGCACAAUGGGCGGAAGCCUGAUGCAGCAACGCCGCGUGCGGGAUGACGGCCUUCGGGUUGUAAACCGCUUUGGCCUGUGACGAAGCGUGAGUGACGGUAAUGGGUAAAGAAGCACCGGCUAACUACGUG